rnacentral:rRNA from 1 species
GACGAACGCUGGCGGCGUGCUUAACACAUGCAAGUCGAACGGAAAGGCCUUUUCGGAGGUACUCGAGUGGCGAACGGGUGAGUAACACGUGGGUGAUCUGCCCUGCACUCUGGGAUAAGCCUGGGAAACUGGGUCUAAUACCGGAUAGGACCGCACUUUAGUGUGUGUGGUGGAAAGUUUUUUCGGGGUAGGAUGAGCCCGCGGCCUAUCAGCUUGUUGGUGGGGUAAUGGCCUACCAAGGCGCCGACGGGUAGCCGGACUGAGAGGUUGGUCGGCCACAUUGGGACUGAGAUACGGCCCAGACUCCUACGGGAGGCAGCAGUGGGGAAUAUUGCACAAGGGGCGCAAGCCGGAUGCAGCGACGCCGCGUGGGGGAUGACGGCCUUCGGGUUGUAAACUCCUUUCGCCAGGGACGAAGCGUUUUGUGACGGUACCUGGAGAAGAAGCACCGGCUAACUACGUG